rnacentral:miRNA from 1 species
CAGCGAUCGGCUUGAGCUUACU